rnacentral:sRNA from 2 species
ACGGACGCCAGGUCGACACCAGUGGAUCGGCAGGAGUGGAGGACCCGAGCAGUACGGGACGGCCGACCGCGCACCAGCGGGGCCGGUGUCCCUUGGGGUGAAGCCGCGUCAGCGGCCGGGCAUCUUCGUCCUGUCCGAACCCGACAGGCAAUCCUUCACAGGCGGACUGACGAAGGGUACU